rnacentral:rRNA from 1 species
CCUACGGGUGGCAGCAGUGGGGAAUAUUGGACAAUGGGGGCAACCCUGAUCCAGCCAUGCCGCGUGUGUGAAGAAGGCCCUCGGGUUGUAAAGCACUUUCAGUGAGGAAGAACGCCUGGUGGUUAAUACCCAUCAGGAAAGACAUCACUCACAGAAGAAGCACCGGCUAACUCCGUGCCAGCAGCCGCGGUAAUACGGAGGGUGCGAGCGUUAAUCGGAAUUACUGGGCGUAAAGCGCGCGUAGGUGGCUUGAUAAGCCGGUUGUGAAAGCCCCGGGCUCAACCUGGGAACGGCAUCCGGAACUGUCAAGCUAGAGUGCAGGAGAGGAAGGUAGAAUUCCCGGUGUAGCGGUGAAAUGCGUAGAGAUCGGGAGGAAUAACAGUGGCGAAGGCGGCCUUCUGGACUGACACUGACACUGAGGUGCGAAAGCGUGGGUAGCAAACAGGAUUAGAUACCCCGGUAGUC